UCAGACAUUUCUUAAUAGUUAAGGAUUUCAUUUACACUGAACUUUUUGUCGUGCAAUUCGAUGUUGUCUGAA
rnacentral:tRNA from 1 species